rnacentral:rRNA from 1 species
AGUGAACGCUGGCGGUAGGCCUAACACAUGCAAGUCGAACGGCAGCACAGUAAGAGCUUGCUCUUACGGGUGGCGAGUGGCGGACGGGUGAGGAAUACAUCGGAAUCUACUUUUUCGUGGGGGAUAACGUAGGGAAACUUACGCUAAUACCGCAUACGACCUACGGGUGAAAGCAGGGGAUCUUCGGGCCUUGCGCGAUUGAAUGAGCCGAUGUCGGAUUAGCUAGUUGGCGGGGUAAAGGCCCACCAAGGCGACGAUCCGUAGCUGGUCUGAGAGGAUGAUCAGCCACACUGGAAUUGAGACACGGUCCAGACUCCUACGGGAGGCAGCAGUGGGGAAUAUUGGACAAUGGGCGCAAGCCUGAUCCAGCCAUACCGCGUGGGUGAAGAAGGCCUUCGGGUUGUAAAGCCCUUUUGUUGGGAAAGAAAAGCAGCAGGUUAAUACCCCGCUGUUCUGACGGUACCCAAAGAAUAAGCACCGGCUAACUUCGUG